AGUACCGUGAGGGAAAGGCGAAAAGAACCCCGGAAGGGGAAGUGAAAUAGAUCCUGAAACCGUGUGCAUACAAACAGUAGGAGCCUCGCAAGGGGUGACUGCGUACCUUUUGUAUAAUGGGUCAGCGACUUACGUUCAGUGGCAAGCUUAACCGAAUAGGGAAGGCGUAGCGAAAGCGAGUCCGAAUAGGGCGCAUUAGUCGCUGGGCGUAGACCCGAAACCAGGUGAUCUAUCCAUGGCCAGGUUGAAGGCACGGUAACACGUGCUGGAGGACCGAACCCACUAAUGUUGAAAAAUUAGGGGAUGAGCUGUGGAUAGGGGUGAAAGGCUAAACAAACCUGGAGAUAGCUGGUUCUCUCCGAAAGCUAUUUAGGUAGCGCCUCUCGUAUUACUGCCGGGGGUAGAGCACUGUUAUGGCUAGGGGGUCAUGAUGACUUACCAAACCGAUGCAAACUCCGAAUACCUACAAGUGCCGAGCAUGGGAGACACACGGCGGGUGCUAACGUCCGUCGUGAAAAGGGAAACAACCCAGACCGUCAGCUAAGGUCCCAAAGUUAUGGUUAAGUGGGAAACGAUGAGGGAAGGCUUAGACAGCUAGGAGGUUGGCUUAGAAGCAGCCAU
rnacentral:rRNA from 1 species